CGCAGCCUUCUAAAUGAGACACAGCAUAUUAUGUUCCAGUUGAAUCAACUCAACUAAGCUUAUUUGAGUCUGUUGCCAAUGGCAAUUAAAUGAGGAACGCGACACAAAGAAUCUGAUUGGUCUGAGCUGCUGUUUGAACCGACUCCUCGAGGGUUUUCUGAUUCCAAGAAGUGCAGUGCUGAACUAAAGAAAAAAAAAAAAGAUCUGGAAAUGCUUCUGAUGAUGAGGAGUCACACCAAAACAUUCCAGUUGGAAUCCACGAAAGCUAAGAUGUUGCACAGCAUCCCCUGUCUUUCUCCUCCAUCUAGCCCCUGUAAGGAAUCAUCUCAGAGGGUAAUCUUGGGAAGGACGGUUUAGAGAACCUCCCUCAGGCCAUUUGUUCUUGUUUUUAGAUUGACUUAUGCCUUGCAGCUCAUUGAUUAAUGAGCAAUACAUUAAACACAUACAUUUUCUCUUUGUUUUAUUAGAUAAAAUCUCAACAUACCUAAAGUUACCUGAAAUUUGUUAAAUGGAUUUAGUAAAAUGAAUUAAAAUAAACUGAAAUCUAAAACAAAAUCCUUGUUUGUAUUU